rnacentral:rRNA from 1 species
CAGUAGCCGCGGGAAUACGUAGGGUGCGAGCGUUAAUCGGAAUUACUGGGCGUAAAGCGUGCGCAGGCGGUCUGUUAAGACCGAUGUGAAAUCCCCGGGCUUAACCUGGGAACUGCAUUGGUGACUGGCAGGCUUUGAGUGUGGCAGAGGGAGGUAGAAUUCCACGUGUAGCAGUGAAAUGCGUAGAGAUGUGGAGGAAUACCGAUGGCGAAGGCAGCCUCCUGGGCCAACACUGACGCUCAUGCACGAAAGCGUGGGGAGCAAACAGGAUUAGAUACCCCAGUAGUCCCUGUCUCUUAUU